AACUACCAGGGAAGCGAUGAAAUAUAAUCUGCAUUUGGACACUUGGAUUAUAUGGAGCUAGUAGUGUAACCGGCCCUCUUAGAA
rfam:Paenibacillus sp. FSL H8-0548 NODE_11_length_152017_cov_2.22271_ID_11288, whole genome shotgun sequence.